rnacentral:rRNA from 1 species
AACGAACGCUGGCGGCAGGCUUAACACAUGCAAGUCGAACGCCCCGCAAGGGGAGUGGCAGACGGGUGAGUAACGCGUGGGAAUCUACCCAGUUCUACGGAAUAACCCAGGGAAACUUGGACUAAUACCGUAUACGCCCUACGGGGGAAAGAUUUAUCGGAAUUGGAUGAGCCCGCGUAAGAUUAGCUAGUUGGUGGGGU